UGUUUGUAAAAUAACAAAGUACCUAUAUUUACUAAGAUGAUUAUAAAGUUGUUUCUAUUUUUCUUUCAAGGUGACUAUCUGCUGCUCAGCAUUGGUGACGCUUGAGGUUCACUAAUCACAAUUCUUAAGAACCAACUCUAUUUACCCAAGAUAAAAUCCAAUCAUACGAGUAUUGAUUAGCCUCUGCAAGAUAAAAGGCUCUUCUGCAGGUUCCUGAAACGUGCAUAUGUACACACCCUCUGCCCUCCAAGAAUGUCCUUUGCACUUACUUGGUCCCUUAUUCUGCACU
rnacentral:lncRNA from 1 species